AGAGUUUGAUCCUGGCUCAGGAUGAACGCUGGCGGCGUGCUUAACACAUGCAAGUCGAACGAACCUUCGGGUUAGUGGCGGACGGGUGAGUAACGCGUGGGAAUCUGCCCUCAGGAGGGGGAUAACGGCUGGAAACGGCCGCUAAUACCCCAUAUGCCGCGAGGUGAAAUGAAUUUCGCCUGAGGAUGAGCCCGCGUCUGAUUAGCUAGUUGGUGAGGUAAUGGCUCACCAAGGCGUCGAUCAGUAGCUGGUCUGAGAGGAUGAUCAGCCACACUGGGACUGAGACACGGCCCAGACUCCUACGGGAGGCAGCAGUGGGGAAUUUUCCGCAAUGGGCGAAAGCCUGACGGAGCAACGCCGCGUGAGGGAUGAAGGCCUCUGGGCUGUAAACCUCUUUUCUCAAGGAAGAAGAUCUGACGGUACUUGAGGAAUAAGCCACGGCUAAUUCCGUGCCAGCAGCCGCGGUAAUACGGGAGUGGCAAGCGUUAUCCGGAAUUAUUGGGCGUAAAGCGUCCGCAGGCGGCCCUUCAAGUCUGCUGUUAAAACGUGGAGCUUAACUCCAUCAUGGCAGUGGAAACUGUGGGCUUGA
rnacentral:rRNA from 1 species